GGUUAAGUAACAUAAUGGUAAUGUAUUGGAUUGCAAAUCCUAGAAUGGCGGUUCAAGUCCGCCCUUAACCU
rnacentral:tRNA from 1 species